GAACGGCUGGCGGCGUGCCUAACACAUGCAAGUCAACGGGACUCUUGGAUUGAGACUCGGUCAAAUGAAGCUGAGUUAGUGGCGGACGGGUGAGUAACGCGUGAGCAAUCUGCCUUUCAGAGGGGGACAACAGUUAGAAAUGACUGCUAAUACCGCAUAAAGUAUUCCGGCGGCAUCGCUGGGGGUACCAAAGAUUUAUCGCUGAGAGAUGAGCUCGCGUCCAAUUAGCUGGAUGGUGAGGUAACGGCCCACCAUGGCGACGAUUGGUAGCCGGACUGAGAGGUUGAACGGCCACAUUGGGACUGAGACACGGCCCAGACUCCUACGGGAGGCAGCAGUGGGGGAUAUUGCGCAAUGGGGGGAACCCUGACGCAAGCAACGCCGCGUGAAGGAAGAAGGUCUUCGGAUUGUAAACUUUUGUCUUGUGGGACGAUGAUGACGGUACCACAGGAGGAAGCCACGGCUAACUACGUGCCAGCAGCUGC
rnacentral:rRNA from 1 species